GACGUAGGAGGCGAGCGUUGUCCGGAUUCAUUGGGCGUAAAGAGCACGCAGGCGGUUUGGCAAGUCGGACGUGAAAAUCCGGGGCUCAACCCCGGACCUGCAUCCGAAACUGCCCGACUAGAGGUAGGUAGGGGAGAUCGGAAUUCCUGGUGUAGCGGUGAAAUGCGCAGAUAUCAGGAGGAACACCGGUGGCGAAGGCGGUUCUCUGGGCAUUACCUGACGGCUGAGGAGCGAAAGUGUGGGAGCGGACAGG
rnacentral:rRNA from 1 species